GGCAGUUCUCGGGUGACACACCCUGGAAUUGGGCUCCCUCCUCUCUGGUUCCAGGUGCGUCACUCGAGAACCGCA
rfam:Myotis lucifugus cont2.9805, whole genome shotgun sequence.